GAUGAACGCUGGCGGCGUGCCUAAUACAUGCAAGUCGAGCGAACAGACGAGGAGCUUGCUCCUCUGACGUUAGCGGCGGACGGGUGAGUAACACGUGGAUAACCUACCUAUAAGACUGGGAUAACUUCGGGAAACCGGAGCUAAUACCGGAUAAUAUAUUGAACCGCAUGGUUCAAUAGUGAAAGACGGUUUUGCUGUCACUUAUAGAUGGAUCCGCGCCGCAUUAGCUAGUUGGUAAGGUAACGGCUUACCAAGGCAACGAUGCGUAGCCGACCUGAGAGGGGGAUCGGCCACACUGGAACUGAGACACGGUCCAGACUCCUACGGGAGGCAGCAGUAGGGAAUCUUCCGCAAUGGGCGAAAGCUUGACGGAGCAACGCCGCGUGAGUGAUGAAGGUCUGCGGAUCGUAAAACGCUGUUAUUAGGGAAGAACAAAUGUGUAAGUAACUAUGCACGUCUUGACGGUACCUAAUCAGAAAGCCACGGCUAACUACGU
rnacentral:rRNA from 1 species